AUUGAACGCUAGCGGGAUGCCUAACACAUGCAAGUCGAACGGAGUGGGGAACGGGUGAGUAAUGUAUCUGAACGUGCCCAGUAGCGGGGGAUAACUACGCGAAGGCGUAGCUAAUACCGCAUACUAUUUGAGCGGCGGAUAUCGGAUUGGAUAGUUGGUGGGGUAAUGGCUCACCAAGGCGACGAUCCGUAGCUGGUUUGAGAGGACGACCAGCCACACUGGGACGGAGACACGGCCCAGACUCCUACGGGAGGCAGCAGUGGGGAAUUUUGGACAAUGGGGGAAAGCCUGAUUCAGCCAUCCCGCGUGUGCGAUGAAGGCCUUCGGGUUGUAAAGUACUUUUGGCAGGGAAGCGGUACCUGCAGAAUAAGCACCGGCUAACUACGUGCCAGCAGCCGCGGUAAUAC
rnacentral:rRNA from 1 species